rnacentral:rRNA from 1 species
AAUUCAAAGGAAUUGACGGGACCCGCACAAGCGGUGGAUGAUGUGGUUUAAUUCGAUGCAACGCGAAAAACCUUACCCACCUUUGACAUGCACGGAACCCUUUGGAAACAGAGGGGUGCUCGAAAGAGAGCCGUAACACAGGUGCUGCAUGGCUGUCGUCAGCUCGUGUCGUGAGAUGUUGGGUUAAGUCCCGCAACGAGCGCAACCCUUGUCAUUAGUUGCUACGAAAGGGCACUCUAAUGAGACUGCCGGUGACAAGCCGGAGGAAGGUGGGGAUGACGUCAAGUCCUCAUGGCCCUUAUAGGUGGGGCUACACACGUCAUACAAUGGCUGGUACAGAGGGUUGCCAACCCGCGAGGGGGAGCCAAUCCCAUAAAACCAGUCGUAGUCCGGAUCGCAGUCUGCAACUCGACUGCGUGAAGUCGGAAUCGCUAGUAAUCGCGGAUCAGCAUGUCGCGGUGAAUACGUUCCCGGGUCUUGUACACACCGCCCGUCACACCAUGGGAGCGGGUUCUGCCAGAAGUAGUUAGCCUAACCGCAAGGAGGGCGAUUACCACGGCAGGUUCGUGACU